GCCUGAGAAACGGCUACCACAUCUAAGGAAGGCAGCAGGCGCGCAAAUUACCCAAUUCUACAGUAUGAGAGAGGUAGUA
rnacentral:rRNA from 1 species